rnacentral:rRNA from 1 species
UAGUGGCGAACGGGUGAGUAACACGUGGGCAAUCUGCCCUUCACUCUGGGACAAGCCCUGGAAACGGGGUCUAAUACCGGAUAAUACUUUUCCCUGCAUGGGGGAGGGUUGAAAGCUCCGGCGGUGAAGGAUGAGCCCGCGGCCUAUCAGCUUGUUGGUGGGGUGAUGGCCUACCAAGGCGACGACGGGUAGCCGGCCUGAGAGGGCGACCGGCCACACUGGGACUGAGACACGGCCCAGACUCCUACGGGAGGCAGCAGUGGGGAAUAUUGCACAAUGGGCGGAAGCCUGAUGCAGCGACGCCGCGUGAGGGAUGACGGCCUUCGGGUUGUAAACCUCUUUCAGCAGGGAAGAAGCGUGAGUGACGGUACCUGCAGAAGAAGCGCCGGCUAACUACGUGCCAGCAGCCCGCGGUAAUACGUAGGGCGCAAGCGUUGUCCGGAAUUAUUGGGCGUAAAGAGCUCGUAGGCGGCUUGUCGCGUCGGAUGUGAAAGCCCGGGGCUCAACCCCGGGUCUGCAUUCGAUACGGGCAGGCUGGAGUGUGGUAGGGGAGAUCGGAAUU